CCGGGGAGACUUGUUGUAAAACUGACUGGCUGGUCACCAUGGCACUGUUACCAUGGUGACUGAUUGUCGAAGAGGAAGUGACCUCAUUGUUUCCCGGUUGGCUGUAGCGUACUCCUGCAAAACAUGAACCCAAUAUGGAAAUUAGUGUCACCAGGGCCCCUGGACAAUGACUCAGUGUCUCCUGUUUUCAGUGGUUGAAGGAGGAAGACCACAGCCGCUUUGAUCAAGGAACAAGCAGAAAGAGAAAGUAUGGUCAGUUCUGUAUUGAAGGUGUGAAUUGCUCCGGGCCUGUUACCAGGGGAUCGCUGGGAAGUCACACAGAUUUCACAGUUGAGAAGCACUGGAUGAAUUCAGAAAUUUGCACAAAGCCGAAUAGGACCACACAGAAUAUAAUAAACGGCCCUGUGCAUGCACGCACGCCGCCUGAAUAUCAGCCAGCCGCCUCGAUCCCUCAAGGGCUAUAAGCCACAUCUGUGCUCAUCAGGAAUCAUAAUUCCUUCUGGCUGCAGACAAUCCUUUGUCCUGCAUGUCUCAAUAGUGACCUGUGACCUCCUGACACCUACAUCCUUAGGCAAACUUCAGGACCCUUUCAGGCCCAACUGCCAUGAUUGUUAUUGGACAGCAUUUAUGCUUUGAGCCACCCAACAACUGCAGACUCUGCUCA